rnacentral:lncRNA from 1 species
GUCUCAAAGUGGUGUUGGACUUCUGUGGAUUGAAACUAGAUGGAGCAGGAAACAAACCGUCAAACCUCUCGGCCACAGUACAUGUAAAACCUCCUCUGCGGUCAUGCUACUGAAUGAGUUCUCAAUCAUGCCGACUUUCUAAAACAUGAUUUUUUUAUUUCCACCGCAGCCACUGCGGUUCUGGUUGGAGCAGGGCGUGGCCGGUUUUGUAAUCUGUGAUACAGAUGCAGCGUAUUCAGAAAAGGUAAAAUGAGGGUUCAUUUAUGCCCUUGACAUUUCUCAUGAGCAGCGUUUCCAAUAAAAUAUUUACAUUUCAGACUCUGCUGGAUUGGAGAGGUGUCUUCAGGGAAUUUAGCAGUCAGGAGGAGAAAAGGUAUGUGCAGAUUUGGAUAGAUGUUUAUUCUGUCAUAAAAUAUGAAAUAUCGCGGCAGGUUUAUUGGACACUGUGCAUACCUGCAUAUCUCUUCAGGAUUGUGGUGGUGAGACAAACACAAUACAUCCUGCCUCCUCUGAACAACUCGAGUCAGACCAACAAGAUGCUGGUGGAUGUGGUCAUGAGGUCAAUUCUGCCAUCUUCACAUCACAUCCUGUCUGCCCGGGAAGUGGCCGAUGCCAUAGAGACGCACCUGCAAAUAAGAGAAGAUAUAUGGCCAAGCUGGACAGUUGGAGGUAAAGCGUCUCAUGACUUGAAGAAGUUACUCCUUGUGUUGACGAUGACUCUGCCUGGAUCACCUACAGUCCAGUAUGAUGAAGAAAUCAACCAAACACAGAGUGCAUCUCUAAAUGUGGGCUCAUCAAAUGGAGAGAAGAAUGACUCAUCAGGCACUAAUACAGACAAGGAGAAGGAGAAACGCACAGCUGUAGCUCUCUUUACCUCCCUCAGUCACUCCAGAGCCAGAGAAGAAGCUCUUCUGUACGGCAGCUUCACCUUCCUCCCCUUCAACACCUCCACUAACUCCUCCUCCGCCUCAAACUCCACUCUCGCCUCGCCUUCCUCUCCCCUGAUCCUGGCCUUCCUGCGCUCCUGGGGUUGCGUCCACUUCCUCGUUCUGCUCAACAUCGGGCCUGAGCUGCACACUCUGGAUCCCGCCUGGGCCCCGAGUCUGCCCGCGGCCGGAGUGUUUGUGGCCAGCACAGGGAUGGACCGCCUGGGGUCGACAUCUCUGUACUCGCUGGAACUGCGGCCUCACGAAGCCAUUGUCAUCAAAUUGUUUGAGUCAGGAAGCUACUCGUAG